rnacentral:lncRNA from 1 species
GGACCACAAGAGGAGGAGUGAUUUUUUCCUAUGCUAGUCCAGGAGUUCUACUGAACUACCAGGUUGCACUAGAAAAUAUAUACAAGGAAGGAGAAAAAUGUAGCAGAUCAGCCUUUGAUAGAGAAAGUUGGAGUACAGGGUAUGAUGGUGAUCUCUCAGAUAUGACAAUCGACAGAUUUAUUCAUGGCCCUGUAUUCACCUCUUA